rnacentral:rRNA from 1 species
AACGAACGCUGGCGGCGUGCCUAAUACAUGCAAGUCGAACGAGUGGCGGACGGGUGAGUAACACGUGGGAACCUACCCAUCAGAGGGGGAUAACACUUGGAAACAGGUGCUAAUACCGCAUACGUUAUGAUGGACCCGCGGUGCAUUAGCUAGUAGGUGGGGUAAAGGCUCACCUGGGCGACGAUCUCUAGAUGGUCUGAGAGUAUGAUCAGCCACACGGGGACUGUGACACGGCCCAGACUCCUACGGGAGGCAGCAGUGGGGAAUAUGGCACAAUGGGCGCAAGCCUGAUGCAGCCAUGCCGCGUGUAUGAAGAAGGCCGUAGGGUUGUAAAGUACUUUCAGCGGGGAGGCGUUACCCGCAGAAGAAGCACCGGCUAACUCCGUGCCAGCAGCCGCGGUAAUAC